AUCCUUUUGUAGUUCAUAAACGUGAUGAUUGGGUAUUCAUGCUUUCUAUGAUGUGUGCCUCCCUCAAACCUUGUUACCACCUUGGCACAUUACCAGUUUGACA
ensembl:snoRNA